rnacentral:rRNA from 1 species
AUUAGAUACCCUGGUAGUCCGCACGGUAAACGAUGGAUGCCCGCCGUCGGCAUAUGAUGUCGGCGGCCAAGCGAAAGCGUUAAGCAUCCCACCUGGGGAGUACGCCGGCAACGGUGAAACUCAAAGGAAUUGACGGGGGCCCGCACAAGCGGAGGAACAUGUGGUUUAAUUCGAUGAUACGCGAGGAACCUUACCCGGGUUUGAACGUAGUCUGACCGGAGUGGAAACACUCCUUCUAGCAAUAGCAGAUUACGAGGUGCUGCAUGGUUGUCGUCAGCUCGUGCCGUGAGGUGUCGGCUUAAGCGCCAUAACGAGCGCAACCCUUAUCACUAGUUACUAACAGGUGAAGCUGAGGACUCUGGUGAGACUGCCAGCGUAAGCUGUGAGGAAGGUGGGGAUGACGUCAAAUCAGCACGGCCCUUACAUCCGGGGCGACACACGUGUUACAAUGGCAUGGACAAAGGGCAGCUACCUGGCGACAGGAUGCUAAUCUCCAAACCAUGUCUCAGUUCGGAUCGGAGUCUGCAACUCGACUCCGUGAAGCUGGAUUCGCUAGUAAUCGCGCAUCAGCCAUGGCGCGGUGAAUACGUUCCCGGGCCUUGUACACACCGCCCGUCAAGCCAUGGGAGCCGGGGGUACCUGAAGUCCGUAACCGCAAGGAUCGGCCUAGGGUAAAACUGGUGACUGGGGCUAAGUCGUAACAAGGUACC